GCGGGUGACUUGCCGUUGCGUCUCCCCCUUUCGUGGAGCGCUGAGCCGAUCCCCCUUCGGCCUCCCUCCUCCCUCCUCCCGUGUGGGUCCUGUCUGUUGUACAUCGUCGGACCGUCUCUUCGUGUUGCCUCUCCGCACCUUCCGCAAAUCUGCGCUCGCCUGUGCCGCCUCUCGGACUUGAGCCUUACUGUGAUUGUAUUCUCACGGUGCGUCUCCGUGUGUGUGUGCGCCACGCACCGCUUCUUCCAUGUGUGUCCUUGCUUGCUCUCGUCUGCCCCCCUCCCGCUGCCUCACACAAUCCGUAGAUGUGCGCAUGGUCGUCUGGAGGCGGCAUCGGUGCCCGUCCCUGCCACCCUCUACUCCCUCACUCUCUUGGCGCAAUUUGGUGGGCGGCGCAUCCAUGUGUAUAUAUAUAUGUAGAUACGUGUGCGUGUAUAUCAGUGUGUGCCGGCACGUGUGUCGCGCCACGCUCUCUUGCCCGCCUCCCCUGUGCCUGUCACUCGCUCUGGGCGCGCUGGCGGCGGGCGCCGGGUGGUGGCCGCGCGGAAGGUGGGCGGCGGCCCUUCCCUAUUUCUGUCUUUCUCUAUUUCUCUGUUUCCUACUCGCGUGCACAAACGAAAGCUGCUCGGCCCCGUGGCCCCGACCCGCGCCGUGGGAGGGGAAAUGUGUUGUGGUAACGCCGAUGACGAUGGGCGUUGUGGCGAGGACCGUGCGCGGAGGCUGUCGCGACGGUGGCGUGCAGCGCGGGCCUCUGGACAUGCGUGCGUGCCGUCUCUCCCCACCGUUGCUCCUCUCCCUGCCUGCCCAGACAUCAUCUCUCUCUGCCUGCCCUCCCCCUCCGCCGCGCCUGAGCCCUGUGCACUGCCUGCCCGGCUGCGUGCGUGUGCGUGUCUCCGUCUGUGCCCGGGGCACCACUCAUUCAUAG
rnacentral:misc_RNA from 1 species